rnacentral:rRNA from 1 species
UACGGAAGGCAGCAGUGGGGAAUAUUGCACAAUGGGCGCAAGCCUGAUGCAGCCAUGCCGCGUGUAUGAAAAAGGCCUUCGGGUUGUAAAGUACUUUCAGUCGUGAGGAAGGUGUUAAGGUUAAUAACCUUAGCAAUUGACGUUAGCGACAGAAGAAGCACCGGCUAACUCCGUGCCAGCAGCCGCGGUAAUACGGAGGGUGCGAGCGUUAAUCGGAAUUACUGGGCGUAAAGGGCACGCAGGCGGUUAAUUAAGUUGGAUGUGAAAUCCCCGGGCUUAACCUGGGAAUGGCAUUCAAGACUGGUUAGCUAGAGUCUUGUAGAGGGGGUAGAAUUCCGAUGUGUAGCGGUGAAAUGCGUAGAGAUGUGGAGGAAUACCGGUGGCGAAGGCGGCCCCUGGACAAAGACUGGGCGCUCAUGUGCGAAAGCGUGGGGAGCGAAACAGGGAUUAGAUACC